UGAGGAAUAUUGNUCAAUGGGCGAGAGCCUGAACCAGCCAAGUAGCGUGCAGGAUGACGGCCCUAUGGGUUGUAAACUGCUUUUGUAUGGGGAUAAAGUCAAUCACGUGUGAUUGUUUGCAGGUACCAUACGAAUAAGGACCGGCUAAUUCCGUGCCAGCAGCCGCGGUAAUACGGAAGGUCCGGGCGUUAUCCGGAUUUAUUGGGUUUAAAGGGAGCGUAGGCUGGAGAUUAAGUGUGUUGUGAAAUGUAGACGCUCAACGUCUGACUUGCAGCGCAUACUGGUUUCCUUGAGUACGCACAACGUUGGCGGAAUUCGCCGUGUAGCGGUGAAAUGCUUAGAUAUGACGAAGAACUCCGAUUGCGAAGGCAGCUGACGGGAGCGCAACUGACGCUGAAGCUCGAAGGUGCGGGUAUCGAACAGGAUUAGAUACCCUGGUAGUCCGCACAGUAAACGAUGGAUGCCCGCUGUUAGCGCCUGGCGUUAGCGGCUAAGCGAAAGCAUUAAGCAUCCCACCUGGGGAGUACGCCGGCACGGUG
rnacentral:rRNA from 1 species